rnacentral:rRNA from 1 species
GACGAACGCUGGCGGCGUGCUUAAAACAUGCAAGUCGAAUGGACUUCUCAUGAAGCUUGCGAUUGAGAAGUUAGUGGCGGACGGGUGAGUAACGCGUGGGCAACCUGCCCCUGAGCCCGGGAUAACAGUUCGAAAGGACUGCUAAGACCGGAUAUACUUGCGGUGAAGCAUUUCACUGCAAGGAAAGGGAACGCUCAGGGAUGGGCCCGCGUCCCAUUAGCUAGUUGGUGAGGUAACGGCCCACCAAGGCGACGAUGGGUAGCCGGCCUGAGAGGGUGAACGGCCACACUGGGACUGAGACACGGCCCAGACUCCUACGGGAGGCAGCAGUUGGGAAUCUUCGGCAAUGGGCGCAAGCCUGACCGAGCAACGCCGCGUGAGUGAUGAAGGUUUUCGGAUUGUAAAGCUCUGUCUUCCGGGACGAUAAUGACGGUACCGGAGGAGGAAGCCACGGCUAACUACGUG